rnacentral:rRNA from 1 species
UACGGAGGGUGCAAGCGUUAUCCGGAUUUACUGGGUUUAAAGGGUGUGUAGGCGGGCUUUUAAGUCAGUGGUGAAAUCUCCGGGCUCAACCUGGAAACUGCCAUUGAUACUAUUAGUCUUGAAUUUUGUUGAGGGUAGGCGGAAUAAGUCAUGUAGCGGUGAAAAUGCAUAGAUAUGACUUAGAACACCAAUUGCGAAGGCAGCUUGCUAAACAAACAUUGACGCUGAGGCACGAAAGCGUGGGGAUCAAACAGG